CCAGAACUCCCUGAGAGACCCACCACGCCUCAGCCUGCCACCCCAUUCCCCUGAGAAAGAAAAGCCAGCCGAGGAGGUUUGGGUUUUCUCAGGUACAGACGCUAUGCACCGCGUCCCCUGAGGAGCCCGGGCAGUGGCGAGCCGUCCGGCCCCUCCGCUGCGUGUGUGGGGAUUAAUGUCCCGGCGUGGCAGGUCUAAAUAAUGGGCUACGGGGAGGCACGUCUGUAAAUUAUACAGGAAGCCUUCUUCAACAACUGAUUCACCCUGACAGUUUUACUGGAGUAUAUGAAAAUGAGUAUUAAAGAUGUGAUCUGUAGGCUUCCUUCCAGGAAUUCCAAUCUGGUUUCAAUAAAAUG
rnacentral:lncRNA from 1 species